CACCGGCGGCCCGAGUGGUGACCACUUUUAUUGGGCCUAAAGCGUCCGUAGCCGGCUUGGCAAGUCCCCUGGGAAAUCUGGCGGCUUAACCGUCAGGCGUCCAGAGGAUACUGCCAGGCUUGGGACCGGGAGAGGUGAGAGGUACCUCAGGGGUAGGGGUGAAAUCUUGUGAUCCCUGAGGGACCACCAGUGGCGAAGGCGUCUCACUAGAACGGGUCCGACGGUCAGGGACGAAAGCUGGGGGCACGAACCGG
rnacentral:rRNA from 1 species